rnacentral:ncRNA from 1 species
UAGCGAAAAAAGCAAACCCCGACAUGAAUCGGGGGGCGCAAAGUCGAAGCCCGUCAAAAUGUGAAAGCUUUUGUCGGGGGCUGGACUGCCGAA